rnacentral:rRNA from 1 species
UACGUAGGUGGAAAGCGUUGUUAGGAUGUAUUGGGUUUAAAGGGUGCGUAGGCGGCUUUUUAAGUCAGUGGUGAAAGCCGAUCGCUUAACGAUCGAACUGCCAUUGAUACUGAGAGGCUUGAGUAUAGUUGAGGUAGGCGGAAUUGACAGUGUAGCGGUGAAAUGCAUAGAUAUUGUCAAGAACACCAAUUGCGAAGGCAGCUUACUAAAGUAUAACUGACGCUGAGGCACGAAAGUGAGGGGAUCAAACAGG